UACGUAGGGUGCGAGCGUUAAUCGGAAUUACUGGGCGUAAAGGGCGCGCAGGCGGUUCUGCAAGUCAGGCGUGAAAGCCCCGGGCUUAACCUGGGAAUGGCGCUUGAAACUACAGGACUGGAGUAUGGCAGAGGGAGGUGGAAUUCCACGUGUAGCGGUGAAAUGCGUAGAGAUGUGGAGGAACACCGAUGGCGAAGGCAGCCUCCUGGGCCAAUACUGACGCUCAUGCACGAAAGCGUGGGGAGCAAACAGG
rnacentral:rRNA from 1 species